GACCUGGGUUAUCUUGUCAAGCCAGUGAGAUUCUACUGAAGUUACCAACUUUGGUCAGCACCCGCACUCCCACCUCCUGGUCUGCCUUUCUGUCCUGCCACACUCCAGGGAAGGAGGAUGGGGAAUUCCGGAGGAGGGCAGCAGUGGCUGCAGCAGGGCGCUCUGGUAAGAUGACACAGAGCAGAGCCAGGAAAAGGUGAGAGAGGAAGCCAUGAGAGACUCUCAUCAGGGAUGAACCUGCUGUGUUCAGGGAGCACCACGGAGCCCGUGCGGCUGGAGGAGAGAGGACGAAGGCGAAGGCGGUACCAUAAGUUUCGCAUCUGCACAAGGCUGGCCUCCUGCAGGCAACCCUUCAAGGCUGCCCUUUCCUGGGUCAUCGUAUGUUCAGCGUGAGAGAUGCCAUUCCAAAGGUUCAGAGCCGUGUGGCCUGUGGACUUGGGGGUGGGGGACACACCCCCUCCUUCCCUCAACCUCCCUCCCACCGCCUGCUGCCAAGGGCCGCCAAGAGAAAUGUGGGCAAACCACACGGACCACCCCAGGCCUCCCAAGGGCACUUGGGGGUGAUGCCAGCCCCAGGAAGGAGUCCUCAAUAAAGAUCCAAGGUGCUAACAAGAAGAUGUCAAUCCAUUAACUCCACUUGAAGGGAAGAAAAAAAAUGUCAAUUACUGGUAAUGUGAAACAAAAGAGUGGGAAAUCGCAAAUGACAGUCUUUUUAAGACGGCCCUAGGGCCACUUCCAGCUGACCCUGUGCAUUAACCAAGCAGGGAGAUUUUUUUCCUUGGCUGCUCCCUCCUGCGUCCCUAAUAGCAUAAAAUAAAAAGAUUUUAGAUAAGAUUUCAUUCUGUGAAUCAAUUGGCAAACCACACUGGGCUUCACGGGGCAUUCUGGUCUCAAUCUAAUGGAAAUUAUUAUUUUUUAAAACGGGAAUAUCAAUACUAAAUUGGAUCCUAUAGCAGACAGCAUAUACAAAGGUUUUAUAUCAGCUGGCUUCUCUGGCUUCCACGGAGCUUUGCUUAACCCAGUACCUGCCAGCAUCCCAGGGAAAGGAUGAGAGAAUGCGGUGGGAGAAAAAUAUCCCAAAUCCUUGUUGUGACAGAAUA
rnacentral:lncRNA from 1 species